rnacentral:tRNA from 1 species
AGUGGUGUAGGGAAGAUGGUCAUCCCGCAGGCUCAUUACCUGAGAGCACUGGUUCGAGUCCAGUCACCACUACGA